rnacentral:tRNA from 1 species
AAGAUUUUAAGUUAAAAAAACUGGAGAUUUUCAAAAUCUUUAAUAAAUUAUAUUGUUUAAAUCUUG